AGACAUGAUUAGAAAUCCACGGGCUGUAUGGCCAAAAAAAAGGAAAAAAGAAAUUAUAUAGUCAGAUAUUUGAUACCAAAAACAAAAGAAAGAGGGCCUGAUGCAAAGAACUUUUCAAAUUUGAUAUUUUCAAACUAUGAAUGGCAGUAGGGUAGAGUAUCCGAGAAAUUUGACUACCCGCAUCCGAAAAUAUUUAAUAUCCCCAUCACGCAUGCCCUUCCCAAAUCCAAUUAGGAUUCACCCCUUGCUAUCCGUAUCCAUCAAAACUAGAAUAUUACACUUUAAAAAUAUUGAACAUUGUAAUAAUAAUUAUGCACAAAAAUUUGGUGAAAAAAGUUAAACAGUAUUCAAAUUAAGAAUGCAUGGGCAUCAACCUACCUACUCCUCUGCACAUAAACAAUUGAAAUUGGGAAUGUUACCAGGCAAGAUGGAUAUAUCAAAACCAUUACUUUUAAAGGGUUGAGAAAUGCCAGCAGCAUUUUUACAACUCUUCACAUAUUCAGUACUGUCAACAGUUGACAUCUUAUAACGUCCUAAAGUACAAAUUAAGUUCAGGAAAUUAUCAAUCAAGAGAAUUAACUAAUAUAUGCAUGAUUUGGUUUGGUUUGGUUUAGUUUAAAUAAGAAUCUUAAAACUUCAGAACUAAACCAACCAAUUCAGUUUGGCUUCCGGUUUUAAGUUAUUUCGAAUUCCCAACUUAGCUCAAUGGGUUUUGCUGCUGCAAUUAACAGAGAAACAAGAAACAUCAAAGAAAAAAACAAGGCUUUAACCACAACAUAAAAAUAAACCAUUUAACAUUACAUUACAUAAAACCAAUAUUCUACCAAAAAAAUAUAUAUACAUAAUAAAAAUUGUUUAAGCACAUCAAAGAAAAGGUGCAAAUUCACACUAUCCAAUUGAUCGCCCCCUUGUACUUAAUUCAAGUGUAGAUCAAAUGCAUCAUAUAAAUUUUGAAAAGUUAAAAAUAAUAAUAAAGGAACCAAAAAAAUUACCAAAAAAUUAAUUCUGGGGUGGAA
rnacentral:misc_RNA from 1 species